CCUACGGGAGGCAGCAGUAGGGAAUUUUGCGCAAUGGGCGAAAGCCUGACGCAGCAACGCCGCGUGAUCGAGACGCCCUUCGGGUUGUAAAGAUCUGUCAGUGGGGACGAAACUUGACGGUACCCACAGAGGAAGCACCGGCUAACUCCGUGCCAGCAGCCGCGGUAAUACGGGGGGUGCAAGCGUUGUCCGGAAUCAUUGGGCGUAAAGAGUUCGUAGGCGGCGCGUAAAGUCUGGUGUUAAAGGCAGAGGCUCAACUUCUGUACGGCACUGGAUACUUGCGAGCUAGAAUGCGGUAGAGGUAAAGGGAAUUCCUGGUGUAGCGGUGAAAUGCGUAGAUAUCAGGAGGAACAUCGGUGGCGUAAGCGCUUUACUGGGCCGUAAUUGACGCUGAGGAACGAAAGCCAGGGUAGCAAAUGGGAUUAGAUACCCCAGUAGUC
rnacentral:rRNA from 1 species